GAAGCUACAUGUGAUGAAAAGGCUGUCAUUAGCAGGAAUACAUUGUGAGGGGAGAGUUCCCCAGAGGCCAUCUUUGACUCCUUCUCUGGCUGUGCAUGCACAGAUGUCAACUGUGGAUAAAGAUAGCUCUAGAAAGAAACAGAUGAAGGAACUGCUACUUAGCAAGAGAUGUUGUGGUCCUAUGAGGAGGACAGAGAACUGUGAGGUAUAAUCUGUUGUGCUAGCUGUUGAUAGAGCAGACUUCUGGACCCAAUCUCUCACCUACCAGUUGUCCAGGUGUGAAUAUUGUUUACCUGGGGGCCAAGACAAUGAAGGUCAUCUGCCAUGAAGAACAGGCUUCAUUACAUUUUUUUUC